rnacentral:rRNA from 1 species
GACGAACGCUGGCGGCGUGCUUAACACAUGCAAGUCGAACGGAAAGGCCCUGCUCUUGUGGGGUGCUCGAGUGGCGAACGGGUGAGUAACACGUGAGUAACCUGCCCUUGACUUUGGGAUAACUUCAGGAAACUGGGGCUAAUACCGGAUAGGAGCUCCUGCUGCAUGGUGGGGGUUGGAAAGUUUCGGCGGUUGGGGAUGGACUCGCGGCUUACCAGCUUGCUGGUGGGGUAGUGGCUUACCAAGGCUUUGACGGGUAGCCGGCCUGAGAGGGUGACCGGCCACAAUGGGACUGAGAUACGGCCCAGACUCCAACAGGAGGCAGCAGUGGAAAAUAUUGCACAAUAGGCGGAAGCCAGAUGCAACAACGCCACGAGCGGGAUGACGGCCUUCGAGUUGUAAACCUCUUUCGCCUGUAACGAAGCGUGAGUGACGGUAAUGAAUAAAGAAGCAACGGCUAACUACGUG